GGAGGGUGCAAGCAUUAAUCGGAUUUAUUGGGCGUAAAGGGCGCGUAGGCGGGUUUGAAAGUCAGAUGUGAAAUUCCGAAGCUCAACUUCGGAGCUGCAUUUGAAACUCCAAGUCUUGAGGAAUGGCGGAGAAAAUGGAAUUCCACGUGUAGCGGUGAAAUGCGUAGAUAUGUGGAAGAACACCAGUGGCGAAAGCGGUUUUCCAGCUUUUUCCUGACGCUGAGGCGCGAGAGCAAGGGGAGCAAACAGGAUUAGAUACCCUGGUAGUCCUUGCCGUAAACGAUGUAUACUUGAUGUAGCUAGGCUCAACCCUGGCUGUGUCGAAGCUAACGCGAUAAGUAUACCGCCUGGGGAGUACGCUCGCAAGGGUG
rnacentral:rRNA from 1 species